rnacentral:rRNA from 1 species
AGAGAGAAGCUUGCUUCUCUUGAGAGCGGCGGACGGGUGAGUAAUGCCUAGGAAUCUGCCUGGUAGUGGGGGAUAACGUUCGGAAACGGACGCUAAUACCGCAUACGUCCUACGGGAGAAAGCAGGGGACCUUCGGGCCUUGCGCUAUCAGAUGAGCCUAGGUCGGAUUAGCUAGUUGGUGAGGUAAUGGCUCACCAAGGCGACGAUCCGUAACUGGUCUGAGAGGAUGAUCAGUCACACUGGAACUGAGACACGGUCCAGACUCCUACGGGAGGCAGCAGUGGGGAAUAUUGGACAAUGGGCGAAAGCCUGAUCCAGCCAUGCCGCGUGUGUGAAGAAGGUCUUCGGAUUGUAAAGCACUUUAAGUUGGGAGGAAGGGCAGUUACCUAAUACGUGAUUGUUUUGACGUUACCGACAGAAUAAGCACCGGCUAACUCUGUGCCAGCAGCCGCGGUAAUACAGAGGGUGCAAGCGUUAAUCGGAAUUACUGGGCGUAAAGCGCGCGUAGGUGGUUAGUUAAGUUGGAUGUGAAAUCCCCCGGGCUCAACCUGGGGAACUGCAUUCAAAACUGACUGACU